rnacentral:rRNA from 1 species
CCUUGCGACCCCAGUCGGCGGG